rnacentral:rRNA from 1 species
AGUGAACGCUGGCGGUAGGCCUAACACAUGCAAGUCGAACGGCAGCACAGUAAGAGCUUGCUCUUACGGGUGGCGAGUGGCGGACGGGUGAGGAAUACAUCGGAAUCUACUUUUUCGUGGGGGAUAACGUAGGGAAACUUACGCUAAUACCGCAUACGACCUACGGGUGAAAGCAGGGGAUCUUCGGACCUUGCGCGAUUGAAUGAGCCGAUGUCGGAUUAGCUAGUUGGCGGGGUAAAGGCCCACCAAGGCGACGAUCCGUAGCUGGUCUGAGAGGAUGAUCGGCCACACUGGAAGUGAGACACGGUCCAGACUCCUACGGGAGGCAGCAGUGGGGAAUAUUGGACAAUGGGCGCAAGCCUGAUCCAGCCAUACCGCGUGGGUGAAGACGGCCUUCGGGUUGUAAAGCCCUUUUGUUGGGAAAGAAAAGCAGCAGGUUAAUACCCCGCUGUUCUGACGGUACCCAAAGAAUAAGCACCGGCUAACUUCGUG